UUAGAACGCUGGCGGCAUGCCUUACACAUGCAAGGUCGAAACGGCGAGCGCGGGAGCAAUCCUGGUGGCGAGUGGCGAACGGGUGAGUAAUAUAUCGGAACGUGCCCAGUCGUGGGGGAUAACGUAGCGAAAGCUACGCUAAUACCGCAUACGAUCUAUGGAUGAAAGCGGGGGAUCGCAAGACCUCGCGCGAUUGGAGCGGCCGAUAUCAGAUUAGGUAGUUGGUGAGGUAAAGGCUCACCAAGCCGACGAUCUGUAGCUGGUCUGAGAGGACGACCAGCCACACUGGGACUGAGACACGGCCCAGACUCCUACGGGAGGCAGCAGUGGGAAUUUUGGACAAUGGGCGCAAGCCUGAUCCAGCAAUGCCGCGUGCAGGAUGAAGGCCUUCGGGUUGUAAACUGCUUUUGUACGGAACGAAACGGUGAGCUCUAAUACAGUUUGCUAAUGACGGUACCGUAAGAAUAAGCACCGGCUAACUACGUG
rnacentral:rRNA from 1 species